AAAAUACGGGAGGCAGCAGUGGGGGAUAUUGCACAAUGGGCGCAAGCCUGAUGCAGCGACGCCGCGUGGGGGAUGACGGCCUUCGGGUUGUAAACCUCUUUCGUCGGGGACAAGGCUCUGCUUGGUGGUGGGGUUGAGGGUACCCGGUGAAGAAGCGCCGGCUAACUACGUGCCAGCAGCCGCGGUAAUUUUU
rnacentral:rRNA from 1 species